rnacentral:lncRNA from 1 species
UCAUGGUUCAUGUGGUUCAUCAUCAAGAUGGAUGCCUCCCAGCCUUGAAGCAAUCUCUCUUCUGGACGUUGAUACAUAUUAGACUGGAACCAACGCACAUCCCUCCCUACCAGCCCAAGGGGGCAGCUGGAACAGAGAGGAGGGCAACCUGGAGAACGCCAGGAGAAGGAGCAAGAGUCAUGCCAAGGCUUACCCUAUCUCCAGCUCGCUGGCCAGCCUGCUGCCGCUGCACCUCCGUGGUGAAGCACCUUCGUACAGAGGUUUCACAGACGCGUCUCAUGGAGAUAAAUCUGACCACACAAGGCCAGUUGAAAUCUGUGCUUCGACAAGGAAACAUGUAAAUAAGAACACAAUGUUAAGUUGUUAAGAUUUUCCCUGUCAUGGCGAAGAUUUCUCUUUUUUUAAUUAAAAGGACUAUGUCAAAUCAAAUUUUAUUGCUUUUCUUCUUGAUAAACAAAAAUGAAUUUUCUAUGUGCUAUAAAGACAGCACCAAAUCUUUUUGUCCCUCCUGGUUAAAAGUACGCUGUUACCAAUACUUUGACAUUUAUCUUCAUGAUUCUGUAAUGAGUUAUACUAGGACACGUGUGGUCUCCGGUCUCUCUGUUCAGCUGUGUUGCUUGUACCUGACAUUUGAGUAAUCUAACUAAUGAGGAGAUCAAAUACAAUAAAAGUUGGAGAACAAGAUGAUCAUUCCUUAUCCAGAAAAACGGAGGCCUGACAGAAUUUUCAUAAGCAACUAUGAUUCCAGGAUCAUUUUACCUGUCCAUUAUGAAUCCUCUUAAUCAUGGUCUCUAGUCGUUAUCACAUUUUCUCCUGGGAAAGAUAAAUGAGGCACAAUAAAAACCAAGUUUGGCUUGUGGGCAUUGGGCGAGUUCUGGUGAAAUGCCGGGGGCUGAGCUGCAGGUUUUCAAGACUGUUUAUUUUC